ACGGCUGUUGAAACACCGGUUCCCGUACGAUCACCGAAGUUAAGCAAUGUCAAGCCUGGUCAAUACCCAGAUGAGAGACUGCUUGGGAAUACCAGGUGC